AACAUACUCUCUCCGUCUAGAAAUACUUGUUAUUGAAAUGGAUGUAUCUAGAUGUAUUUUAGUUCCAGAUACAUUUAUUUUCAUCCAUUUUGAUGACAAGUAAUUCUGGACGGAGGGAGUACUUG
rfam:Triticum aestivum genome assembly, contig: Triticum_aestivum_CS42_TGACv1_scaffold_404401_5BL